rnacentral:lncRNA from 1 species
ACAAAUCUCAGCAUGCUUUGGGAGAGAAAAAAUGGCUGCUCAAAGAUGGACUACAAAUCCCGGCAUGCUUUGGGGGAAGUCAACAUGGCUGAUCCAUCACAGACUACAAAUCCCAGCAUGCUUUGCAGGGAACUGAAAUGGCUGAUCAUACAUAAACUACAAAUCCCAGCAUGUCUUGGGGGAGCCAAGAUGGCUGCCAUGGGCAGGAACUACAAUUCCCAGCAUGCCUUGGGGGGGGGUGUGUGUGUGUGUGUGUGUGUGUGUGUCCAUAUCCCAGCAUGCCCCUCCCUGCCCCAAGAUGGUGUCCCCCAUGGUGGCAGCCAUGUUGUGGGCGUGGUUUCCCCCGCAGUGCUGCUGCAGUUCCCGGAGCCAGCUCCUGAUUGGCUGGAGCCGCUCGGCCCCGCCUUCCUGACUCUCUCAGGGGCGGGGUCUGUGGAGCUCCUCCCCCCUGGGGCGGAGCCUGGGCCGGGCUGGGCGGGGGCUCCCGCGGGUUCCGGAACCUUCGUGCACCUGCGCAUCCAGGGCCUGGUGGACCCCGACGCCGCCCGGGCCCAGCAGCAGCACCAGGCCCGAGAGGAGCUGGAGCGGAGCCUGGAGGGGCUGGAGACCCCCGGGGACCCCAAAGGGACCCCCAAAAACACCCCGGGACCCCCAGAGACCCCCGGGGACCCCCAAAAGGAGCCCCAGGUUAGAGGCAGCCAAGGAGUUCUUAAAUAAAUAAAUAAAUAAUUAUUUAUGAGCUAAAUAAAGUGAAUA